UGUUGUGCAACUGGUAACCCAAAAAUAAAAAUAUGGUUGUAAAUGCAUUUACCGGUCAUUCUGAUAUUAAUGCUCGCUAUGGGAACACAGGAUGGCCGGGCAGUGAUAGUUGUACAUUUCCAUCACUCGUUGUGUUGAUUUCAUCAUGUCCAUUAGGUGAUGUUUUUACACUAUAGAAUCAUAUUGCAAGUGCGCGCGCAUUUGCAAUAUGUUUCAAUGUGCAUUUACCAUAUGAAAUUUGACAUGCUCAAAAAUGCAAAAUUGACUGGUCUGAUGGACACAGGAUGGCCGAGCAGUGAUAGUUGUACAUUUCCAUCACUCGUUGUGUUGAUUUCAUCAUGUCCAUUAGGUGAUGUUUUUACACUAUAGAAUCAUAUUGCAAGUGCGCGCGCAUUUGCAAUAUGUUUCAAUGUGCAUUUACCAUAUGAAAUUUGACAUGCUCAAAAAUGCUAAAUUGACUGGUCUGAUGGACACAGGAUGGCCGAGCAGUGAUAGUUGUACAUUUCCAUCACUCGUUGUGUUGAUUUCAUCAUGUCCAUUAGGUGAUGUUUUUUCACUAUAGAAUCAUAUUGCAAGUGCGCGCGCAUUUGCAAUAUGUUUCAAUGUGCAUUUACCAUAUGAAAUUUGACAUGCUCAAAAAUGCAAAAUUGACUGGUCUGAUGAA